AUACGAAGGGGGCUAGCGUUGCUCGGAAUGAACUGGGCGUAAAGGGCGUGUAGGUCGGUUUACACAGUCAGAUGUGAAAUCCCCGGGCUUAACCUGGGAGCUGCAUUUGAUACGUGUAGACUAGAGUGUGAGAGAGGGUUGUGGAAUUCCCAGUGUAGAGGUGAAAUUCGUAGAUAUUGGGAAGAACACCGGUGGCGAAGGCGGCAACCUGGCUCAUGACUGACGCUGAGGCGCGAAAGCGUGGGGAGC
rnacentral:rRNA from 1 species